GGUGGUGGUGGUGGUGGGG
rnacentral:miRNA from 1 species